UGCCGGAAUAGCUCAGUCGA
rnacentral:tRNA from 1 species